AAUUUUUUAGCUUUUUGAUGAAUCCCAGAAAGGGCACUUAGUCAAAGAUUCAAUCUUUUGAUGAAAUUGGUGUUAUUUUUAUUGCAGAGGCGAAUGGUGGGAUUGAAGCCGGUUCGAUCUGAGGUUUAGUGGUUUCACAAUUCUAAGUAAAGGGUAUGCUCUCUGCUGCUUUAAUUUUACUUCCAGGGGUUAAAAUUUCAAAAUUUGGUAG
rnacentral:lncRNA from 1 species